UGCCCUGACACAGGCGAGCAGCUAAACUUAAAGUGUGGAGUGAGAGGAAUGCCAAGGUCCAGUAAGCCCCUCGGGGCAAUUAGGAAGGGAAGAGGAGAUUCUACUGGGGAACAAGUGUGUGUUUUCAUGUGUGUGUGAGACAGAAAUAGAGUUGAGAGACUCAGUUGGAGUUCAUGAGCUCGUUUUCAGCCAGAGAAGUAACCAGUGAGCAAAGGAGUUCAUGUGCAGUCAAGAGAACGAGAAGGGAUCAAGCUUGGAGCGUCAAACAGGUUAUGCCCUGUUUUGUGAUUAACCCUGGCAGCCAUACACUACAGCUGGAAGCGCAACACAACAUCCAGCACCGUGAAGCUCCAAGGCUGUAGACAUGACAAGGACAGAGCAGGUUGGAGUUGAAUCAGAGGAAGACGGAGCACUUCUAAUCUUAUCGGGAUCGUUUUGGAGACUUGCACAAAACUCAAGGACGUUAAAGAUUUUUCCAG